rnacentral:rRNA from 1 species
AGAACGAACGCUGGCGGCAGGCUUAACACAUGCAAGUCGAACGGUUGUAGCAAUACAGCAGUGGCAGACGGGUGAGUAACACGUGGGAACCUUCCUAGGGGUACGGAACAACUCAGGGAAACUUGAGCUAAUACCGUAUACGUCCGUGAGGAGAAAGAUUUAUCGCCCCUAGACGGGCCCGCGUAGGAUUAGGUAGUUGGUGAGGUAACGGCUCACCAAGCCUACGAUCCUUAGCUGAUCUGAGAGGAUGAUCAGCCACACUGGGACUGAGACACGGCCCAGACUCCUACGGGAGGCAGCAGUGGGGAAUCUUGGACAAUGGGCGCAAGCCUGAUCCAGCCAUGCCGCGUGAGUGAAGAAGGCCUUCGGGUUGUAAAGCUCUUUUACCAGGGACGAUUAUGACGGUACCUGAUGAAUAAGCCACGGCUAACUACGUGCCAGCAGCCGC